AGUGCUUUGCUCCAGGUGCUCACGGAGAAAAUGAGCACAGGGCAUGUGACUAGGGGGUUUCUGGAAA
ensembl:ncRNA C50E10.12 ncRNA